AUUGAACUCUGGCGGCAGGCCUAACACAUGCAAGUCGAACGAGUGGCGGACGGGUGAGUAAUGUCUGGGAAACUGCCUGAUGGAGGGGGAUAACUACUGGAAACGGUAGCUAAUACCGCAUACCAUCAGAUGUGCCCAGAUGGGAGUAGCUUGUUGGUGGGGUAACGGCUCACCAAGGCGACGAUCCCUAGCUGGUCUGAUAGUAUGACCAGCCAACCUGGAUGGGAGGCAUGGUCCAUACUCAUACGGGAGGCAGCAGUGGAGAAUAUUGCGCAAUGGGCGCAAGCCUGAUGCAGCCAGGCCGAGUGUAUGAAGAAGGCUUUCGGGUUGGAAAGUACUUUAAGCGGGGAGGCGUUUCCCGAAGAAGAAGCACCGGCGAACUCCGUGCCAGCAGCCGCGUAAUUC
rnacentral:rRNA from 1 species